AGAGUUUGAUCCUGGCUCAGGACGAACGCUGGCGGCGUGCUUAACACAUGCAAGUCGAACGGUGACGGAGGAGCUUGCUCCUCCUGAUCAGUGGCGAACGGGUGAGUAACACGUGACCAACCUGCCCCCGACUCUGGGAUAACCCCGGGAAAUCGGAGCUAAUACCGGAUAUGAGGCGCACAGGCAUCUGUGCGGCUGGAAAGAAUUUCGGUCGGGGAUGGGGUCGCGGCCUAUCAGCUAGUUGGUGGGCUAACGGCCCACCAAGGCGACGACGGGUAGCCGGCCUGAGAGGGCGACCGGCCACACUGGGACUGAGACACGGCCCAGACUCCUACGGGAGGCAGCAGUGGGGAAUAUUGCACAAUGGGCGAAAGCCUGAUGCAGCGACGCCGCGUGAGGGAUGACGGCCUUCGGGUUGUAAACCUCUUUCAGCAGGGAAGAAGCGAAAGUGACG
rnacentral:rRNA from 1 species